rfam:Pteropus alecto contig35820, whole genome shotgun sequence.
GGUUCCAUAGUAUAGCUGUUAGCACGUCUGCUUUACACGCAGAAGGUCUUGGGCUCGCACCCCAGUGGAGCCA